CCUCUCUCUCUGCCCCUCCCCCGUUCAUGCUCUGUUUCUCUCUGUCCCAAAAAAAAAAAAAAAAAGAUACACCAUGCUCUUGGAUGUUUGGGGGUGGGGAGUGGGAUCUGCCCGUUGUUUCACAUCUGUAAGGGCCUAGAGAGGGAGAAAAUUGUCUCCUGUGAGAUAAUUUCCAUCCGAAUCCCUGCCUGUAGCUCACCUCCCCCUGCACGGAGACAUUUUCUUCAUCCCCUCUUCCCUCCUUCCCUGCCCUCUGAGAAUGCUGACCGGGAUAGGGGUGGUGGAGGGGGGGGUGGAGGCAGAGGCAGUUCCCAGAGUUGCAUCUAGAGAAAGGCAGAAGGUAGAAAAUGAAGGAGGGGGUUCAAACCUCCUAUUUCCUGAGAGUUUUAACCUCUGUUCCUCAAACCCAGAUCCGCACCCCAAUCCAGGGCCUUCCCUCCUCCUUCCCCCAACUCUGCCUCAUGGAGGCAACGCCUCCCUCACGCUGUGACUGCCCUGAGAACUUUACUCUGAGAACACCGCCACCUUUCACAGGACGUGUGGGGACCCAGCCCCUGUGACUCGCUCAGUGCCCGCCUGGUCCAGAGGGGACCUGUGGCCCGGCCGGCACAUGGCCAUUUCAUGUCCCAGUGGAGCAGGCCGUGGAGACAUCUCAGCUGCCAUCCCAGACCUCAGCUGCUCUUUUCCCAAGUCACUCCAGCAUCCUCGGUCUCCCCCAAGCCAGGAGGCAGGAAAUACAUGUACGUGGUUGAAAAGUCAAAAGGCACCAAAAGUGAUACAGUGACAAGUAAGUCUCACUCCCAGGCCACCCGGGUCCUGUCUCCAUUAUUACCACACCAACCACUAUCUUGUAUCCGUCUCCAAAGAUACUUUCUACCUCGCCUGGCUUGUCCCCUGAAGUCACCGCAAAGCUGAGCUGAGCUGAGCACUGGGGAUUUGAGGAGAAGUGCUAAAGGCCCGCACGUGGACCGGUGGGGUCUGGGGCACCAAAUGCUGUCAGUCUCCCCUCCCACGCCCUAGGAGCUUGGAAGCCUUGCAGGUGACAGGGAGGGGUGGGGCCGGGCAGAGGCAGAAGCUGCUCAAGGGCCUGGUCUUCCACCCUGCCAUCCCAUGGUCUCUCUCACAGGCCUGCAGGGCCCUUGGCAUCAGCCUAGCCUGCUCGGGAUCCCCAGCGCACAAGGCUCCACACCUUCCCUCUACCACCUGUUACACGGUUGGCAAGUCUUUCUUGAUGCCUCGCUCCACUUCCUUCUACUCCAGGUGCAGCCCGGGACCUUUUAUUUUGCCCUCAGUGUGUGUGUGGGGGGGAUCCUCCUCUUGGAGAUGGUGACUUGGUUCCCUCCCCCGCCCCACGUACGCAAUCAGCCACCCUCUCCCCACCUUGAAGGCCUCUGAACUCCUGGCCCAGCCGUUACUGCCAACCACGUCAUGCUUGCUUGGCACAUCCCUUCGGUAUUAUUAGCCCAAAUUACACUUUGGCCGUGGAGAUGAGGAAAUCCCAACCCAAAGCCAAGUCUCCCAGCAGGGGGUAAAUCCAGGCCAGUCCCUUUGGCAACUGAAUCUCUCCUUUUUGGGCGAUGUGCUGGCCCAAUCUUGCACCAUACCCAUCACCUUGACUCCCAGAUCCUCACACAUGGCCCGUAGUGAGAUAAGGCCCAAGUUAACCCCACACCUGGGAUGGCCUCCCCCUGUCUUCCUCUCCAAACCCUCCCCUGGUUAACCUCAUCCUUCAUAUUUACUCACUAAGCAAUUAUUGAGCACUAUUCCAGGUCCUUGGGAUGCAUCAGUGAACAAAACAGAGAAAGACCCCUGCCUCUGUGGAGCUUACGUUUUAGCAGAAGAGACAGAUAAUACACAAUAUAUUUAUUAAAUAGGUUGUGUGUUUUCUCUUUCCUGGACGACUGAGAGCUUUCUGAGGGCGGGGCUCAAUUCCUGCCCCAGGAUCUGCCCCGGCACCUGGGGCAGCACCCGUUCAAGGGCAGAUGGCCCAGUGCUGCCUAGGAACAGGCUGACAAGCUGGGCAGCCUGGCAGUCCUCCCCCGGUCUCAGGCUCCCUGAGCCGAGGGGAGGAAGGAGGCUGCUGUCUUUAAAGACGACGUGAUGGACAGUUAUUGAAGGCGCUCAGCUGGGGCUCUACUCUAGUCUUAAUCUGAGCCGCCCUCAAGGAAAUCAUAACCAGCUCUUAAAAACAUGUUAAGACCAAAGCUGGUGUGUGUGUUUGAGCAGAGCUUCAGACAGCUACUUAACACUGGGGGCCUCCAGGCCUUUGAUUCCUCUACCCCUCGCUUUGCCCUCUCCCCCCAUCUGGCUGGUGUUUAUCGGCCAAGACGUUGUUUAAAUCACACUCGCUUCCUAUAAACAUUUCACUUGAAAUGCCAUCCGCUGCUCCAGAAAUUCAUCUAUCACCAGCUCGGGGGUGUACUUGAGAAGCCUCGGGGCGAUGACUCCCCAUUCUCUCUCUCCUGUCCCCCCAUCAUCCCUCCUCCCCUGACCCAUAUGCUCAGGUUUCACACUGUAAGAACAACUUCCCCUCCGUGUAACAGGGCACUUAGUGCCAGGAUUAUUUAUAACAGCUGAGGUGGCAACAGGCUGUGGGGAGCGGCCCGGCCUGUGGAUGCCUCCGCUUGCAAAGCUCAAUAAAUGGACCUGGCACACUGUUUACCACCUGA